GAUGAACGCUGGCGGCGUGCCUAAUACAUGCAAGUCGAGCGAACAGACGGGGAGCUUGUUCCUCUGACGUUAGCGGCGGACGGGUGAGUAACACGUGGAUAACCUACCUAUAAGACUGGGAUAACUUCGGGAAACCGGAGCUAAUACCGGAUAAUAUAUUGAACCGCAUGGUUCAAUAGUGAAAGACGGUUUUGCUGUCACUUAUAGAUGGAUCCGCGCCGCAUUAGCUAGUUGGUAAGGUAACGGCUUACCAAGGCGACGAUGCGUAGCCGACCUGAGAGGGUGAUCGGCCACACUGGAACUGAGACACGGUCCAGACUCCUACGGGAGGCAGCAGUAGGGAAUCUUCCGCAAUGGGCGAAAGCCUGACGGAGCAACGCCGCGUGAGUGAUGAAGGUCUUCGGAUCGUAAAACUCUGUUAUUAGGGAAGAACAAAUGUGUAAGUAACUAUGCACGUCUUGACGGUACCUAAUCAGAAAGCCACGGCUAACUACGUG
rnacentral:rRNA from 1 species